CCACCCGACAGUCCACAGAUGCCUCCCCCAGGGGGUUAACUGCCUUGCAGGUGUAGAUACCCCCAUCAAAGGGACCAGGCUUGCGGAUUUCGAGAGAGCAGAUUCCCAGACUGGUCCAGCCUGUGGGGUUUGCCUUUCUACCCCAUUUCUGCAUUUGUCCUCAACAGCACUCCAUUUAUCAAAGCCACUUUCAAUGUUAGUCUGGACCUCCAAGCGUCAGCCCUGCUUCCCAGUUUGAGGCCACACUGGAGGAGAAAGUUUUCCACUCUGCAGGCAGAGUCAACACCCUGGACCCACCGGGACAGCACUGACGUCACUGAAGAGGGAGCUGGUGUCUGGGUCCCUUCCUCUGCGUGGCUAUGCUGCUUGGACGACCUGUGCAAUGCUCUUCCAGUUGGUGGAGGAUCGCUUUGUACCAACAGACUCUGGGAAUCUGGGAAAAACUAGGCCACCCCUCCCUGCUCCUUGAUGUUCCAGGCCUGUUCCAGUGAGUCGAGGGAUUAGUUUAUGUCCCUUGGCUUCCAGGAUGGAGGCAGGAGACGCUCAGGAAAAGUGCUGAGUGUGAGGUUUGGAAGACGACCAGGUGUGACCGCUUUCCUCUCCGGAUGUCUUGGGCUGCCUCGGCUGAGAAAGUGCAAACAUCCCACCUGGUUCCCUUGGGGGCCUGGCUGAGACUGCACCAUUUUCUAGCUUUCUCGGGGCUCCUGUCUCCUUCUUCCUCAGGCAGACAGUCGCCUGUUGCUGUUGUCAAAAGUGGAAUGUGACAGCGCCUCAUUCCUCACUACCUCCCCGGCCUCUCUGCACAAUUCUUUUGUGGAGUCGUAAAAAGCCUCACCCAGGUCACUACCGAGGCAAACAGCACCACUGUGUGAUAGUGGGCUGUAAACUUUCUGAUAACGUAACAUUUCCCGAGGAUACAUUCCUGAGCACUCCACUCCACAGUCUGUGUGUUCACUUACAAAUUGAACUGUUUAAAUAUGUACAUUAUGCAAUGCAAACUUUUGAAUGGUGAAAUUUAAAAUACAGUACGUAGGGGUUCUACUGUGUUCUUCCUACACCUCAAUUUGUAGCCCACUGUUUAGAGAGCAGGAAGCUCCUUCCCAUGGUCUGCCCUGUCACCACCCCGAGGUCACUUUUUGCCUUUGGAAAUAAAUAUAAACACAGAUAGUGCA